rnacentral:rRNA from 1 species
UGGGGAAUCUUAGACAAUGGGGGAAACCCUGAUCUAGCCAUGCCGCGUGAGCGAUGAAGGCCUUAGGGUUGUAAAGCUCUUUCAGCUGGGAAGAUAAUGACGGUACCAGCAGAAGAAGCCCCGGCUAACUCCGUGCCAGCAGCCGCGGUAAUACGGAGGGGGCUAGCGUUGUUCGGAAUUACUGGGCGUAAAGCGCACGUAGGCGGAUCAGAAAGUCAGAGGUGAAAUCCCAGGGCUCAACCCUGGAACUGCCUUUGAAACUCCUGGUCUUGAGGUCGAGAGAGGUGAGUGGAAUUCCGAGUGUAGAGGUGAAAUUCGUAGAUAUUCGGAGGAACACCAGUGGCGAAGGCGGCUCACUGGCUCGAUACUGACGCUGAGACGCGAAAGCGUGGGGAGCAAACA